GCAUGCUUAACACAUGCAAGUCGAACGGUAACAGGACUGAAAGUAUCUUCUUCGGAGUGAUUUUCGGUGCUGACGAGUGGCGGACGGGUGAGUAAUGGCAUAGGAAUCUGCCUCAGUAGUGGGGGAUAGCCCAGGGAAACUUGGAUUAAUACCGCAUACGCCCUACGGGGGAAAGCGGGGGAUCUUCGGGCCUCGCGCUAAUGGAUGAGCCUGCGUUAGAUUAGCUGAUUGGUAGGGUAAGAGCUCACCAAGGCAACGAUCCAUAGCUGGUCUGAGAGGAUGAUCAGCCACACUGGGACUGAGACACGGCCCAGACUCCUACGGGAGGCAGCAGUGGGGAAUAUUGCACAAUGGGGGAAAGCCUGAUCCAGCCAUGCCGCGUGUGUGAAG
rnacentral:rRNA from 1 species